rnacentral:lncRNA from 1 species
AGCUUGUAUUUGGCUCAAACGCAAAUCGCGCUCCUGAAAAACAAAAGGUUUUAUAUCUCUAUACAUGCUAAUAUUCAUAAUCUUUAUUUCUUCUCUCUUUUCCUUUUCCAUGCUAAUACAAAUUCGACUGUUUAUACCUCGGUUUCUAUUGUAUCUCACUCUCUUAAUGCUCCUUUCCAUAUGCAGGAACCCGUGAAAGAGGAACCUGAAAAGAAAGAAGAACCCAAGUUUCAUGCUUUCUCUGGGAAAAAGUAUUCUUUGAGGGGUUAAUUGUGAUAUAAUGACGUUCUGUCUAUUUACCUUCUAUGUAUUAACCAUUUCUUUUGCCAGCCAAAUAUCUGAAUUAUGUUUAACUUAUUAUAUAAUCUAUAAAAAUUAGGAGUAAUCUUGAAAACGGUUGGCUGUCGUAGGCUCUCUUAUAAAGCAUGGAGUAAUUUGUUCAGACACUCUAAUUGCCUUUUGAUCACCGC